rnacentral:rRNA from 1 species
AGUGAACGCUGGCGGUAGGCCUAACACAUGCAAGUCGAACGGCAGCACAGUAAGAGCUUGCUCUUACGGGUGGCGAGUGGCGGACGGGUGAGGAAUACAUCGGAAUCUACUUUUUCGUGGGGGAUAACGUAGGUAAACUUACGCUAAUACCGCAUACGACCUACGGGUGAAAGCAGGGGAUCUUCGGACCUUGCGCGAUUGAAUGAGCCGAUGUCGGAUUAGCUAGUUGGCGGGGUAAAGGCCCACCAAGGCGACGAUCCGUAGCUGGUCUGAGAGGAUGAUCAGCCACACUGGAACUGAGACACGGUCCAGAGUCCUACGGGAGGCAGCAGUGGGGAAUAUUGGACAAUGGGCGCAAGCCUGAUCCAGCCAUACCGCGUGGGUGAAGAAGGCCUUCGGGUUGUAAAGCCCUUUUGUUGGGAAAGAAAAGCAGCAGGUUAAUACCCCGCUGUUCUGACGGUACCCAAAGAAUAAGCACCGGCUAACUUCGUG